rnacentral:rRNA from 1 species
GUGUCAGCAGCCGCGGUAAUACGAAGGGGGCUAGCGUUGUUCGGAAUUACUGGGCGUAAAGGGCGCGCAGGCGGCCGCUCAAGUCAGAUGUGAAAGCCCCGGGCUCAACCUGGGAACUGCAUUUGAUACUGAGUGGCUAGAGUUCGGGAGAGGAGAGUGGAAUUCCCAGUGUAGAGGUGAAAUUCGUAGAUAUUGGGAAGAACACCGGUGGCGAAGGCGGCUCUCUGGACCGAUACUGACGCUGAGGCGCGAAAGCGUGGGGAGCAAACAGGAUUAGAUACCCUGGUAGUCCACGCCGUAAACGAUGUGCGCUAGACGUUGGGGGGCCUAGCCCUCCGGUGUCGCAGCUAACGCGAUAAGCGCACCGCCUGGGGAGUACGGCCGCAAGGUUAAA